GCUUCCCUUAAAUUCUGUGAUGGCUUUGGGAUAUUAACUAUUAUCAAACAAUGACGACAGAGGGGUGGUAACAAUACCUCCUACUACAUACUUUAUAAGUACUUUGCCACACAGUUCGUCGUUUGUGGCUCAGAAGAACCCUCAAAGGUAAGCAGGACACGUUUUAUUUUUCUUUAGGUUAAGAAAUUAACCUGAAGUGACCCAAGGCACGGUUGGGAUUUGGCUUUUCUGAUUCUAAUCAAGGGCCCUUUCCUUAAGCCAGAGAAACUCCUGAUUGAAAGAGGACAUAAAUAUGGCUCAUAAGCUUGUCGUCCUUCAGACUUCCAGAAAACAAAUAGGUCCUUUUUUUUUUCAAAGUGCUUUUGAUUGUGAAUAAGAGGCAUAAAAUAUAGACUUCCUCUCCUGGGUUUGUUGAGCUUCUAUUGUGUGUCAAGCACUAGGACUAUCAAAGGAUUAUAGUGAAGUAGGUUGAAAUCACUAACUUAGCACAGUGCUUCUUACCCUAUGAUACAGGACUAGAAAAAAAUGCUCUGGAAAUACAAAGGAAGAAGUAAUUAAGUCACUUUGGGGAAUUUGGAGAAGACCUCGCCAAGAUGAUGACAGUGAACUAGGCCUUGAAGGAUGAAUAUUCGGCUUUCUCCAGGAGGGAAGCAGGAAGAUUAUUCUAGCAAAAACAGAUAAGAAUACCAUGAUAAAAGAGCACGGUGACACUGAGGAAUAGGCACUCAUUGACUGCAUCUGGAGCAUGGAAUAUACAGGAAAUAAUUAUGGGAAAGGAGGCUGUCGAUGGAGGCUGUUUGCAGAGAGCCUUGAAUGCCAGGCUCAGGCGGUGCUGUAUUUGGCUUGACCAUCCCAGGUUUACUAGAAACAUAUGUUUAGGAAGUGGUGAGUAGUUAAGUUUUGUACAUCUCAGAAUUGGAUCUGAUCAGAUGACUCUCCAUCUUGAAAGUAACCUAAAAAAGAUUGAGGAGGAUCUCUAAAUAUCUUGGCCAGAGUAUGAAAGCAAAUCUUGUUUACGGAGUGAGAGAUGAUGAGAUAGAAGAGCUUCAUUCACUCACUUACUCAUUUA
rnacentral:lncRNA from 1 species